rnacentral:misc_RNA from 1 species
AGAGAGAGAGAGAGAGAGAGUUUCUUGUCAAUCCGCAGUUGGGUUUAAAAUGUCUUUAGCACAAAACUUGCUUAUCUUUUUGCAUUGCACAAUUGGUAUAGAGAGAAAGAAGGGUGUGGUGGCCAUGGCACUACAAGAUGAGAUGAUAUAAAUAUUUAGAACUCUGUGUUGAAGGCUUUGGUGGGUCCUUGUCAAAUCUAACAGCUAUUGCAAUUUGCAAUGCUGAUUUUGGGAAUGGAAAUCGCAAAGAUCCAAAUUUGCCAACAAAGGGUAAAUGGGACUGGCAAGAAUACUAGGCUUUGGUAUAAGUAACUAACAGUAACACAUUAAUGCCUAUCUGUCCCUAAGUCUACGUUCCUUCCCAUGUUAUAUUUUUGCACGCAGGGGAUGGUGUGUUUUGGGUUUUUUGUGGGGAUGGUGUGUUUUGUGUUUUUCGUGUACUGUGUAACAGAGUUAAUACUUCACAUAAAAUGGAUGGUUUUUUGCCGUUUUGAAGACGACAAGCACAGUUUCGAGGAUACAGAACAAAGGGGGCAAAAAAAAAGAGAGAUGAAGUCAUACAAUGUAGACUUUCAUGAACACAAGAAAUCAAGAAUUCAAUCUGUUAGGAUUUAAGUCAAUUUCUUAAUCCUAUCAUCCAUUCCAUGUGUAUUAUUUAAUAUCUCAUUUUUCUUGAGUUAGCUGUUUCGUUUCUUAAGAUGUACAGUGACCCAAAAUCAUAAUCCAUUGUGG